AUAGUGCUGGGGUGGGGAGAUACCAUGGUCAACAGGUUUUCCCUGGAAGAGGCCUGUACAUUGCUCUCCGGGCUGGCUGACCCCUAUAAGUUUCCCAAAAGCAGGAAACUCAACUGCACAUUUUUGUAGUAAUGAGGGACUGCAUUUAUGCUUUCUCCCU
rnacentral:snRNA from 12 species